CGUGCGGUUCUAUUUUGUUGGUUUCUAGGACCGCCGUAAUGAUUAAUAGGGAUAGUCGGGGGCAUCCGUAUUCAAUUGUCAGAGGUGAAAUUCUUGGAUUUAUUGAAGACGAACUACUGCGAAAGCAUUUGCCAAGGAUGUUUUCAUUAAUCAGGAACGAAAGUUGAGGGAUCGAAGACGAUCAGAUACCGUCGUAGUCUCAACCAUAAACUAUGCCGACUAGGGAUCGGACAUUGUUAAAUUAUUGACUUGUUCGGCACCUUAUGAGAAAUCAAAGUUUUUGGGUUCCGGGGGGAGUAUGGUCGCAAGGCUGAAACUUAAAGGAAUUGACGGAAGGGCACCACCAGGAGUGGAGCCUGCGGCUUAAUUUGACUCAACACGG
rnacentral:rRNA from 1 species